AGGAGAGAAGCUCAGCAUCACAGCUCUGAUGUUUUCAAGCUGGAGCAUGUUGGGAGAAGAAAAAGGUGCCAGGUUCUUCAUCAGUUCUUCAAAAAGGAGCCAGAUAUUUUUAGGUGACAGAAAAUAGAACAGUUUUGUGGAGAAUGAAUCAGCUGAAGGAACACUGGUUAUUUCCAUGGUCAGGUAAAACUCAAAAAUCUAUUUUUUUUUUCAAAUUGUUCCUUGGUAUAAUUUUUUUUUGCAAUUCCUUUGUAAUUUAUUUCUGAUUGUAGAUGGAUUUUUUUUUUCAGAGCAAUGUUUAUUUUUCUGCCCUGCUGAGUUCCUUCCCUUUUUUUUUUUUCCCCCAGCAAAUGGCUUUGAAUCAAUUUGUAAUGCUGCAUCCAAGACAUGUAAUAUCACCUGCAAAACUCCCAUGUGUGACUGAAGCAACCUGGUAUGGAAAUCAACAACACCUGUGCUGGAUGAAGCUUGGCCUGUGACUGGAACGUUUAGGAAAGCACAUGUAAGAAGUGAGCACAGCAGACUGUGUAAGGAGCAGACAUAUAUAGGACAACCUUUCAUAAUCACCAGGCAUAUUCAUAAUAAUAAACACUCAUUGACCA
rnacentral:lncRNA from 1 species